rnacentral:rRNA from 1 species
GACGAACGCUGGCGGCGUGCCUAAUACAUGCAAGUAGGACGCAGUUGCGAACGGGUGAGUAACGCGUAGGUAACUACCUAUUAGAGGGGGAUAACUCUUGGAAACGAUAGCUAAUACCGCAUACUAGUAGAUUGACCUGCUUUGUAUUGGCUAGUAGGUAGGGUAAUGGCCUACCUAGGCAACGAUACAUAGCCGCCCUGGGAGGGGUAUCGGCCAAGUGGGGACGGAGACACGGCCCAGACUCCUACGGGAGGCAGAAGGAGGGAAACGUCGGCAAGGGGGGGAACACUGACCGAGCAACGCCGCGUGAGUGAAGAAGGUUUUCGGAUCGUAAAGCUCUGUUGUUAAGGAAGCGGUACUUAACCAGAAAGGGACGGCUAACUACGUGCCAGCCGCCGCGGUAAUUC